CUUCAGUUUGCUGCUGACAACAAACUUGAUUGAUUUUUGAGACCUGAGAUAGAACAAUCGACUGGAAAAUGCCUGGGUACUUUUCAGGACUGGCGGAGAGAGUGCGUGGACGUCGGUGUCCUACUGCAUCGGCAGGUUGUUCAAAUUCAUUUGUGGCUUGUUUUUCUUGUCUUUUUCUGUUUUGCAGGGUUCAUGGUCGUCGACAGGUGGACAGCGAUUUCGAAGAUGAGUUUAAAACUCUUAUUUUACUACAUUUAACAAAGUCAUUAUAAUUUGCGCAAUGUUGUGUAUUUCUAUCAUUCAGACAUGGCAAAAAUGCUUGUGCUCGAGAUGUUGUAGCUAGCGAGCUUGCUAGCUAACAUUAAUGUUAGUAACUGUUGCAAAGCGAUUGACUUUUGCUACCUAGCUAGCUAGUAUUAGCAAUCUUGCUACGUUUUAUGUCCUAACAAUAGUUUAUUUUAUAUUCCAAUGUUCCUCAUUUUAGAAACAACUGUCCUGGAUGAGGUCCAGUUGGAUGUGCCAUUGGAUGAUGUGCCAGAUGUUCCACAGCUGCCAGUCCUCCUUGAUGUCCAGAAUGCUGCUAUCAUUCUUGAGGAUGUGCCAGAUGUGCAGACUAUCCUUGUGGAGGCCACUGGCAAUUGGCUGUUGAUUCCAACUAUGGGCCUGUUGUGAUCAGGAACAAUGCUGGUCUGGUGGUUAAAGCUUGGAGAACUUUCCAGUUCAUCAGCCUCAUCACCUACAUCUGUGGGGGAUCCCAGCAGGUGGUGGUGAGGAUGCACCACGUGAGUAGGGUGGGAGGCCUGGAGACUCAAAUGAUGUGGGCCAUCUCUAAGGAGACAGCCAGGCUUAGUUCGGAGGGCAUCCUCUACUGUGCCACCAAAGUGCAGUCAUCACUUGGAUCCAGUGUGUGGCUGGCAGGGUGACCCACUAUGCUUCUCACUUCCCACACGAGACAUCUGUGGACAUGACACUUGGCUGCUACCAGCUGACUGAUGUCUCAGUGGUGUACGCCACUCUCCACAUGGGGCUGGACGGGCUUCUCUCUUCAGCGUGGUCGGAGGCUGCCUCUUUCUCUACGCCUACCACUCAGCAGUUCACUGACCCAGAGCCAGAGGGCCACAACUGCUAUGAGGGCUAGGAGGAGGACCUGCUGUCUGAGGAGAGGGAGGUUCCUCUGCUAAACCUCUACCUUACUACCAGGAGAAUGGAGGACAUCGCCCUGAGGCUCGUCUCCCUGCGUCAGGCCUUCCCUG